CGGCGGCAGCUCAGCGUGUGUCGUACUGAUAGUGUUAUCACUAGCUAUCAUAAGACACACGCGGCUAUCGCCG
rfam:Tribolium castaneum strain Georgia GA2 linkage group LG2, whole genome shotgun sequence.